rnacentral:rRNA from 1 species
UAGGGAAUCUUCGGCAAUGGACGAAAGUCUGACCGAGCAACGCCGCGUGAGUGAAGAAGGUUUUCGGAUCGUAAAACUCUGUUGUUAGAGAAGAACAAGGACGUUAGUAACUGAACGUCCCCUGACGGUAUCUAACCAGAAAGCCACGGCUAACUACGUGCCAGCAGCCGCGGUAAUACGUAGGUGGCAAGCGUUGUCCGGAGUUAUUGGGCGUAAAGCGAGCGCAGGCGGUUUCUUAAGUCUGAUGUGAAAGCCCCCUGCUCAACCGGGGAGGGUCAUUGGAAACUGGGAGACUUGAGUGCAGAAGAGGAGAGUGGAAUUCCAUGUGUAGCGGUGAAAUGCGUAGAUAUAUGGAAGAACACCAGUGGCGAAGGCGGCUCUCUGGUCUGUAACUGACGCUGAGGCUCGAAAGCGUGGGGAGCAAACAGG